UAUAUAUAUAUAUAUAUAUAUAUAUAUAUAUAUAUAUAUAUUUAUACAUAUUUGCGGUAAUCUGGUUUAUAAUGUUAUAAAUAACCUAACAUUGAUGGACAUAAAUGAUUUAAGACGACUAGACGAUAUCAUUGCCAAAAAUACAUUUUGUAAAAGCAGUAGAUUUGCGAAGAGAUCAAUCAUUAACCAUCCAUUGUGGAAAAUUGUAUAACAUUAAGUGUAUAGGAAUUGUUAAAACUAAGUAUACAAAUAUAUUAUUUUUGAAGUAAAAAUAGACUAUGGAACGAAAUUAAACAAAAUUGAAGCUUUUUCAACAUAUAAUGGUGGUCAUAUAACUAGAAACACUUCUUAUAAAUAAAGCAUAACUUAAACAUACAAAUAAAUGUUCAUAAAAAAUAUACACAAUCAAUAAUCAUGUAAUAAUAUAGUCACACAAAUAAAAAACACAUUGAAUGCAUAAAUUACUGGCCACUUGGACACUUAAUAUGUUAAUGUCUAUGUUUUUAACAUUUUAAAAAACCAUCCUUAGCUCUUUUUUUAAUAACAUUUCUUUUUUGGCUUUUUCUAUUAUUUUGGCAGCAAUUCAAUAUUUAAUCUGAAUUUUAUUAUGUUCAAAAUGGGCAAAAAUAAAAGUUGUGAUGCGUCAACUAGGCAAAUAAUUGUUAAUUUAUAUAUAGAUUAUAAGUGGGUGUAAAGAAGAAUAGCUGAGCAUUUAAAUUUAGAUAUAUUAAAUAAAUUUGGAUCAUUAUAAAACCCAUGGAACUGUUGAAAAUGUUCUUAGAAAGGCUUGACCAAGAAAAACCUCUCCCAGAGAAUAUACACUAAUCAUUUGUGUUACUAAACAAGACCCAUUUAAAGGCUCCAACCAGAUUAAAAAUGAACUUUUUUCACCUGAUGAACUGAGAAACAUCUUGUCAAGACUAAUAUGCAAAAGAUAAGUGGAAGCUAAAUUGUUUAGAAGAACCUUUCAAAGGCUGCUUUUUACCAAGUGACACUGGUAGAAGAGAUUUUUAUUCCCUAAAAAAUAUGCUACUGGAUAGUAAGUAGUAGUGCUUUUAAUUAUAAAUACGCAAGGCCUAUAGUCAAGCACAGUGGUGGUUUUCCAGAUGUGGAGUUGGAACCAUUCGGAAAAUUUAAGGUACAAUGGAUCAAUGGCAAUACAAAAAUAUCUUAGAGCACACAAUGAGUCCCUGUCUGAAUGAUCCUUUUCUGUAACUUGGAUCUCUCAGCAUGGCAAUAACCCUAAACACACAGCCAAUAGUGUCAAAUGUUUCCUUAGCAAAAAGCGUAUAUCCAUUUUAGACUGGCCAGCAAAUAGUCUAGAUUUAAACCCAAUAGAAAAUCUCUGGUGUACUGUUAAAAAGAAAGUAUCAAACAAAUGUAACACCAAUCCAAAGAAAUUAUAUGAAGCAUUUGUUGAAGCAUGGAAUUCAAUCACCCUAGAAAAAUGUAUGAAAUUGUUUGAAUCAAUGCCACGUCGUUGCAGUGCUGUAAUUGCAAAUAAGGGAUACGCCACUAAAUAUUAAUUAUAACUAUUGUUAGGGUGUGGAUAGUAGCUAUUUCAUAAAUAACAAUACUAAUUACUAACACUUAACAAAAUAUUGUUAUUUUAUACUUCUUUGUUGUUGUUUCUAAUUAGUUGACUAUUAUUGUUCAUACCUUAUUAGUGAUUUAAAUGUUUGUCCGUAAUGUAAUAUUGAAACUGCACUUGUGUAGUGGGAUCUAUAUUGUUUUUCUAAUAAUGUCAAGAUCUUACAUAAUGUUGGUAGUGUUUCUAAUUAUAUGACCACCACUGUAUAUCGAUCAAAUGUCAACACAAUUAUUUCAGAUAUGCAAAUCACAUAAUGUAAUAGCGCCAUAACAAGGAGAAAAUUUACAGUUGAACUAUUCCAGCACACAUAAUGCCAACUGUUACUUUAAAAAUAUUUAUGAUAUUUAUGAUAUGAUAUUUCAAAAUAUUAUAAUUUAAUACAAUUGUAGUUUAAUAAUUUAAUAAAUUUCUUAUUUAUGUACUUCACUUGUUCUAUGGUUGAGUUAAAACAUUUAAUUUUGAAUUUUUAUUUUAAAAUUGAGAUGUUAUGUGAUGAACUUAAUUGGAGUUUAUUAAUUAUUUUGAAAUCUAAGUAUUUAUACACAUGAAUUUAUGUAAACUGUGAAAAUGAUAUGAAGAAUUCAUGUUUGAAAAGACAAGAAAGUUUUACUAAAGAAAUUUUAAUAUUUCAGAUCUGCGAUCAGCGCUGGAGGAAGUACAAUAAUCCACUGCAAGCACUACAAUAAGCUGGGCUUCAGCAGCAACCUCUGAACUUAAGUAAUAAUAAUAAGUAAUAUAUAUGUUAAUUAUAGUCAUUGUAUCCAUUAAAAUGUCUAAAUGGCUUACAUCUCAUCAAAUGUAUGUAUAAAUAUUAUUUAAAUAAAGAUUUAUAUAUUU